AUGUUUUCUGUUGGUAACGGGAGCAGAGUGAGUUUGUUCAUUUUGUGUUUUGAUUUCUGUUCAUUUGAUUUCUGUCGUUACAUUUUCAUUUGUGCACCACUCGUCUCCCUUCCUGGGAGCCCCGGGAGAGGGAGCAGAAUCCCGAGGCCAGAGUCGCAUCCUGGAUGGGGACUUCAUGGGGCGGGACUGACUGCCGGUCCCCCAAGCCCUCUGUGUCCCCAGUGGCUCCCGCGUCCCUCAGCAGAGCGGGGCAGGAGGUGUCCAUGGCGGCUCCUGGGGCCCGAGCUGAGAAGGCUGUCAGGUGGGACAGGGGCUGUCUGCAUGGGGGCAGGAGAAAGGGUUGUCACUGCGAGAUGGAGCCUGCGGGGGUCUUUCAGCUUUGGCGCCUCUGUCUGCAGGGCAGGGGCAAUGGCAGUGCGGGCCCCUCUGUCCUGUGCACAGGGGCUCUGCUGUCCUGUCUGCGGUGGCUCUACAAGGUUCAAGACCAAAGAAUCCCAGAAACUCGAUCUGCACCAGCAAGAAGACUUCCUGUGGAAGGACCUCUUGGUGGUUUCAAAUGUCCCUUGUACUCGCAGCCCCAAGGACAGGACCCCGUGGCUUCUCUGGCUGCCCCCAGGUCACCACGAUCGUCCACCGGGAGAUGGACUCCGAGACACCCAGCUUCGGAAUCCUCGCCCUUCCAGAAAAGGGGUUGAAUGUCCCCUAUCCUCGGUGCCACAAGGAGAGGACCACUUGCCUCUCUAGCUGCCCUCAGGUCACCACAAUCAUCCUCAGGAAGAUGGAUUCCAAUUCGCCCAGCUUCAGAACCCUCGCCCUUCCAGAAGAGGUGUUGAAUGUCCCUCGUCCUCGCUGCCCCAAGGACAGGACCCCGUGGCUUCUCUGGCUGCCCCCAGGUCACCACGAUCGUCCAUCCCCAGGAGAUGUAAUCGGAGAUGCCCAGCUUCAGAAUCCUCGCCCUUCCAGAAGAGGUGUUGAUGUCCCUCGUCCUCGCUGCCCCAAGGACAGGACCCCGGGGAGCAGCUGCUGCCUGGGAAGAACUUCGUUGCCUCUGUUGGUGCCCAUGGAUUGCCCUGCUCUACUGCCUCUGGGCCUGCAAUGA
rnacentral:lncRNA from 1 species